AAAUUGAAGAGUUUGAUCAUGGCUCAGAUUGAACGCUGGCGGCAGGCCUAACACAUGCAAGUCGAACGGUAACAGAAAGCAGCUUGCUGCUUUGCUGACGAGUGGCGGACGGGUGAGUAAUGUCUGGGAAACUGCCUGAUGGAGGGGGAUAACUAUUGGAAACGGUAGCUAAUACCGCAUAA
rnacentral:rRNA from 1 species